UCUGCUCAGGAUGAACGGCGUGGCGGCGUGCCUAAUACAUGCAAGUCGAGCGAACUGACGAGGAGCUUGCUCCUUUGACGUUAGCGGCGGACGGGUGAGUAACACGUGGGUAACCUACCUAUAAGACUGGAAUAACUCCGGGAAACCGGGGCUAAUGCCGGAUAACAUGUUGAACCGCAUGGUUCAACAGUGAAAGACGGUCUUGCUGUCACUUAUAGAUGGACCCGCGCCGUAUUAGCUAGUUGGUAAGGUAACGGCUUACCAAGGCGACGAUACGUAGCCGACCUGAGAGGGUGAUCGGCCACACUGGAACUGAGACACGGUCCAGACUCCUACGGGAGGCAGCAGUAGGGAAUCUUCCGCAAUGGGCGAAAGCCUGACGGAGCAACGCCGCGUGAGUGAUGAAGGUCUUCGGAUCGUAAAGCUCUGUUGUUAGGGAAGAACAUAUGUGUAAGUAACUGUGCACAUCUUGACGGUACCUAACCAGAAAGCCACGGCUAACUACGUGCCAGCAGCCGCGGUAAUACGUAGGUGGCAAGCGUUAUCCGGAAUUAUUGGGCGUAAAGCGCGCGUAGGCGGUUUUUUAAGUCUGAUGUGAAAGCCCACGGCUCAACCGUGGAGGGUCAUUGGAAACUGGAAAACUUGAGUGCAGAAGAGGAAAGUGGAAUUCCAUGUGUAGCGGUGAAAUGCGCAGAGAUAUGGAGGAACACCAGUGGCGAAGGCGGCUUUCUGGUCUGUAACUGACGCUGAGGUGCGAAAGCGUGGGGAUCAAACAGGAUUAGAUACCCUGGUAGUCCACGCCGUAAACGAUGAGUGCUAAGUGUUAGGGGGUUUCCGCCCCUUAGUGCUGCAGCUAACGCAUUAAGCACUCCGCCUGGGGAGUACGGUCGCAGAGACGUGAAACUCAAAGGAGUGACGGG
rnacentral:rRNA from 1 species